UACAAAAUCGCCGAAAUGAAACGAUAUCUCGCAAUAAAUAAAUAUAGUGAAACACCGAAAAAAGAACACUUCAUUACAAAUAUUUUUAAGACUGAAUUAAGAUACAAGUGAUAGUAAUAAUACAAGAAAAGAGGGAUAAUGAUGGGGAGUACAUGUGUGUGGUGGCGUCGGCUGCAGCAGUGUUGUACACAAUGUUCUCACUCACACCCAGGACGUUCCUUGCCAGGAGAUGUGCAACUGUAAUAGUGCGAUUAUGUUCAGGAGGAGAGGUGGGGCCUGGCAAUUUUCCACCUAUCACCAAAGUGUCCUUAAGCAAACCUGUCCAAUGGCUUCCACCACCAGUGUAUGCUACAGUAUCAAGUACACCUUCCGAAACCAAGGUCACAACUCUAGAAAAUGGCCUUCGUGUUGCUUCUGAACCAAAAUUUGGAAAUUUUUGCACUGUUGGAGUUAUUGUUGACAGUGGCAGCAGGUAUGAAGUUGCAUAUCCAAGUGGAAUCUCGCAUUUUUUAGAAAAAUUGUCUUUUGGGAGUACCCGAAAUAUGAGCCGGGAGAAGAUAAUGGGAACGUUUGAAAAACUUCGGAGGAAUCUGUGACUGCCAGUCAUCAAGAGAUACCUUCAUAUAUGCAGCAUCAGUAGAGUCAAAAGGCAUGUCAGAUGCAGUUGAAGUCUUAUCUGAGGUUGUCCUGAGACCUCAGUUGCUUCCAGAAGAGAUUACGGAUGCUCAAAUGGCCGUGUCAUUUGACCUUGAGGAUUUGCAGCUGCGUCCUGAGAAAGACACUUUGCUCAUGGAGAUGAUACAUGCAGUAAGUUUCUUAGCUGACCCCAAGGGAAUUUUUUUUCUUGUAUGUUUUAUAUAUACAGUUGAACCUCCAUUAACGAGUUUAAUCCGUUCCAUGACCUUGCUCGCAUCUGGAUUUGCUCAUUUGCAGAGUCAGUUUUCCUCAUUUAAAUUAACUGUAAUGGAAUUAAUUCAUUCCAGUGGAAUUCCAGGCACCAUAAAAUACUUCAAUAAUUUCCCUAAUAUCAACUCUAUGGCUUAUUUAUCUAUCAAAAUUAAUUUAAUAUGACAUAAUAAACAUUAUAAAUAACAUAGAAACCUGAUAUAUACUCUAGAAUGAAUAAAAUUUGUCACUAUAUGUGGCAGCGUCAGCGGCCGACGAGAGUAUCUGGAGAAAGGACAAAAUAGUACUCCUUGAAUAUUUCGCUACAUCAACUCUACGGCUUAUUUAUCUAUUACACUUCAUCUAAUAUGACAUAAUAAACAACAUAAAUAAAAUAGAAACCUGAUAUAUACUCUAGAAUGAAUAAAAUAUGUCAUAAUGUGACAAGUGAAGGUGGCCAUAAUCACUCCAGCUUUGUUGUGGUAAACACUGCCAUCUAGUGACAGCCUUUGAAGCCAUCUAUUAUUAUAAUUAUUAUUAUACAUAUUAUUCUUCUGCUACUAGUACUAGUACUAUUACUAGUACUAGUACUAUUACUAGUACUACUACUAGUACUACUACUAGUACUACUACUAGUACUACUACUAGUACUGUUACUAGUACUACUACUAGUACUGUUACUAGUGCUACUACUAGUACUAGUACUACUACUGCUACUAGUGCUGCUGCUGCCACCAAUAUAAAUAAUUUGGAAUUUUUAUUCACACAAAAAAUAGAAGAUUAACGGUUAUGUAGACUACUGCAUUAUUGUAAUAAUUGUAUAAAUAAUGUCAACCCAUUCAUGACUGCACAUUGGAAUGGAGGUGACGUCAUUUGUUUACUCUUGAACAUCGGCAAAAAUAGAACAUUUUUGCUACUUUGAGCUCAUUUCCAAUUAUUAUUAUUAUAAUCAAGGGGGAAGCGCUAAACCCGGAGGAUUAUACAGCGCCUGGGGGGGGGGAUGUGGAAGGCAUUCAGGCUUAAUUCGGGGAACUGGAGCACAGAUCCAAUUCCCUAAAUCAAGAGCCCCUCACCAACAUCAAGGAACCUUCCUUGAGGGGAGCUCAUUUCCAAGGUACUUCUCAUCAUGAAACCAAUCAAAAUCGCAUCUAUUUCUGUAAUAUAUCUUCCAUUCUAUCAAAGAGACCACAAAAGCCAGAAUGCAACCAUAAAAACCAUACAAAAAUACCGCUAAGGGGCGGCUAAUUGCUGAGAAGUGAACUCCAUUGUUUAUGGUCUUAUUUCUUUCAUUUUUGGUGUACAUUAAGAAGCAUCUUUCCAUCAUACAUUGCCCAAGUUUCAAUAAGAUAGUCCAACAAACAAAUGAGAUACAAUUCCCUAGAUCAAGAGCAAGAGCCCCUCAUCAGCUUCAAGGAACCUCCUUUGAGGCCCGCUCGCUUAUGGAAAUUUCGCUCGCGUAUGGAAGCAAAACAUCAACCGAUCAACUGCUUGUACAGUGGACCCCCGCAUAACGAUGGCAUCACAUAGCGAUUUUUCCGCAUACCGAUUACUUUUAUCGCAAAAUUUUUGCCGCGCAUACCGAUUAAAAACCCGCUUACCGAUUUUCGUCCGAGACGCGUCCAAUGUGCCCUCAGCCAGCCUCACAUGUGCCGGCCGUCCCAUUGUUUACCAGCCAGCCUCCGCGGUAACAUCCAAGCAUACACUCGGAAUAUUUCGUAUUAUUACAGUGUUUUCGGUGCUGUUUCU